UACGUAGGGUGCAAGCGUUGUCCGGAAUCAUUGGGCGUAAAGCGCGUGUAGGCGGCCCGGUAAGUCCGCUGUGAAAGUCCAGGGCUCAACCCUGGGAUGCCGGUGGAUACUGUCGGGCUCGAGUCCGGAAGAGGAGUGUGGAAUUCCUGGUGUAGCGGUGAAAUGCGCAGAUAUCAGGAGGAACACCCGUGGCGAAAGCGGCUCUCUGGGACGGUACUGACGCUGAGACGCGAAAGCGUGGGGAGCAAACAGG
rnacentral:rRNA from 1 species